rnacentral:rRNA from 1 species
UACGUAGGGCGCAAGCGUUGUCCGGAAUUAUUGGGCGUAAAGAGCUCGUAGGCGGCUUGUCACGUCGGGUGUGAAAGCCCGGGGCUUAACCCCGGGUCUGCAUUCGAUACGGGCUAGCUAGAGUGUGGUAGGGGAGAUCGGAAUUCCUGGUGUAGCGGUGAAAUGCGCAGAUAUCAGGAGGAACACCGGUGGCGAAGGCGGAUCUCUGGGCCAUUACUGACGCUGAGGCACGAAAGCGUGGGUAGCAAACAGG